rnacentral:rRNA from 1 species
AGAAUCAACGCUGGCGGCGUGCCUAACACAUGCAAGUCGAACGAGAAAGUGGAGCAAUCCAUGAGUAAAGUGGCGACCGGGUGAGUAACACGUGACUAACCUACCUUCGAGUGGGGGAUAACCUCGGGAAACCGGGGCUAAUACCGCAUAACAUCUUUGGAGUGGAAAUUCCGGAGAUCAAAGGAGCAAUUCGCUGGAAGAGGGGGUCGCGGCUGAUUAGCUAGUUGGCGGGGUAACGGCCCACCAAGGCUUAGAUCGGUAGCCGGCCUGAGAGGGCGCACGGCCACACUGGAACUGAAACACGGUCCAGACUCCUACGGGAGGCAGCAGUGGGGAAUUUUGCGCAAUGGGGGAAACCCUGACGCAGCAACGCCGCGUGGAGGAUGAAGUCCCUUGGGACGUAAACUCCUUUCGACCCGGACGAUAAUGACGGUACGGGUGGAAGAAGCCCCGGCUAACUUCGUGCCAGCAGCCGC